rfam:Salmo salar isolate Sally breed double haploid chromosome ssa28, whole genome shotgun sequence.
ACCACCCCUACGUAUAUGUCGCUUUGGAUAAAAGCGUCUGCUAAAUGGCAUAUU